CACCUAUUGGCUAAAAUGAUUCUGCGUUGGAUUUCGAGACUGACAUUGUGUUCAUGCUGGUACCAAAUAGGCGAAAUUAUGUACGACUUCAAAAUUAUGAAUAUCAAAAGUGACGUGCGAGCCAAGUCGCGUAUGCGAUGACUGUUUGUUUGAUGACAGGAGAUAUUUCGUCUUGUCUUCGUUCCUAACCAGACCCAUAAGCUGUAAACUCUUAUAGAAGAUUGUACCUACUCUAUUUAACUCUGCUGCUCUUAUUAUUUUCUCCAACAAUAGAUUGAAGAAGUCACACAAUAAGAGUAUACUUGUCUGAAAGCUCGCUUUGUACCGAACGGCUCGAAGAGGUCCUUCAUAAUCCGGACGGAGCUUCUGGUUUUGCUCAACCUCAGCUUAAACAGCCGAAGUCAGAUAUAUGAUUAUAUAUAUAUAGUGUAAGUGAUGAGGAUGCCGAGGCGAGUUAAAAUCCGUCUGUCUGCCCGUGCAAGCUGCAACUUGUGUCAAAAUUUACUUAUCGUAAUAAAAUUCUGGAUACUUGUUCCUUGACAAGAAAAAUAAGGAGGAUUUGUAGAUGGCGUAAUCAUACCACUGUCACACCUCGGUGAAAAUCUAUAUCUCAGGACCUACUCUACUGAUAUACACCAAAUUCGUAUACAAAUCAAGAACCAAUCAAUAGAUCCGCAUACAACUUUGCAGAAUUAGUGUCCUCAUGGUAUUUCAUUUUUCGCCGAAAAGUUGUCGAAAUAUGGACGAUAACUCUUCAAGAACCCUAACGUGAGAUAUGUGGACCCAAACGCGAAUGGCUGAUUCUUCCCGAAAAUAUCGGUCAAUCUGUGGAUAUACUGCUAAAAUUCGUGGAAAAUGUUUAUUUGAUAAUAAUAUACUGUUCUCUAUAGAAUGGUUUGAAACGGAUCAAUACUUUCCUUAGCUCUCAUAUACCUAAUAUAAAGAUUUUCGAACUUCCAGUUCGCUUAAUGCCACAUAUAUCGGUCAGUAUGAGAGUUAUUUUAAUGAAAUUGAGAGAGCGUAUUUUUCUAAUAACAGUGUAUCUUUGUACCAAAAAUGGAUAAAAUCGGGGGACAAAUUUCCUUUGCCGCCAUAUAACUUGCAUUCAGGAUUUUGAAACGUCUGGUUGAUCUUAGCAGUGGUCGCUUAUAGGCCGCCGAACAUCUGAACGAAAAAUGAUGAAAUGAAAAACCAUUAGCUGCAUACUUUGGCUGUACUUCUUCGAUAAGGACAGUCAAAAAUUAGUUUAAUGUUUCUCGAUUACACUCGAUCUACUACGGCACUCCAAAAAGGAUCAUUCACUGUCGCACUUAUUUGGGCUGUUCCGUGGAUGAAACUUAAAAAUAAGUCUCUACUAGAAGCUAUAGUCGGCGCAAUAACCUAUGGUUGAAAAAAUCACAAAAUAUCGGAGUUCAAAACAAUUCAAAUUUACCAAAAAUUUUGCCUGCCGAAACUGGUAGGUCACUGUAUGGAUGACUAUAAACGGAACAUGCAGAAAAAUUGAUAGUGAUCAGAUUAUUUGUAUCCGAGUAAUCACUCAAGUAAGUUUGAAAAAAAUAUAGUUUUGGAAUAAAGAUAAAGUGAUGAAGAACUGCGAGGCUACAAAUUAGAAGGCUAUAACUCAAAAAUUAUUUGAAGUAACGCUUUAAAAAUUUAUUGUCCGGAAAAUGAUUGUAACGUGAGCCCAACAUCACAAAAAUCACCGAUCUCGUAUUGGCAGACGUUUCAUGGUUAUGGACGAAACAUGGAGUGGAGGCCAAUACACUUUUGUCGGCACAUCAGCAGAGUAUCAACAAAUAUGCAACACAGUUGCUGUACUGCUGCAAUUAUUACGAAGCUCGAACGCACCCGAUGUUUUCCUGGGAUUUACAAGAUGUGACCUACAUCGGUUACCUGUGUAAGGGGAAAACGCUUACAGGGUUCAAAAAUGCCGAUUUCGACGCCGAACUGCGAAGAAAAAGACCCCACUUGGUGAAGAAAAAGUACUCUUCAAACGUGUACCUACAUUUCAGGGUAUACGUUAUUAAAUAGUAGUGUAAAUAGUUGAUUUUAAGGAUAAUUGUACAUGGGCAAGUUCAGUAUGCUAUGCUAUGUCUCUUAGAUUUAACGCUUUGGUCCUACAUUGAUUUAAAGUAAGAUACUAAUGGUGAUAUACUACUAUGAGUCAAAAAUUAUAAGACUUUGUUCAAAAUUUUAAAAUUCUUAAAUUAUUCUUUAAAAUUUAUUUCGUCCCCCUCAAAGUAAUCCCAGUUGGCACCAAUACAUUUGUGCCAAUAUUAUUUCCAAUCCUCGAAACAGUUCUUUAAGUCAAUUUCCGGAAUAGCCUUCAAUGCGCGUAGCUAUUCAAGUUUAAUAUCUUCAAUUGAAUCAAAACGGUUUCCUUUGAGUUUACUGAAUAGCCAGAAGUCCCACUGUGCUAAAUAAGGCAACUACGGUGGUCGAUAUUUAUUGAAAAUUUGGCAAACAACUCACGAAGAACCAAUGCGGUAUGCGACGGUGCCUUAUCGUGAUGCAAAAACCAAGAGUUUUCAGCCCAUAACUCCCCGUCUUAUUACGACUAACUUGGCGCAAAUGACGCCUAACACUCAAAUAGUAUUCGGUGUUGAGAGUUUGGACCGUCGGAAGAAAUUUGGAGUGCAACACACCUCGAUAAUCGAAGAUACUGUAGCAUAACCUU